UUAAUGGCGUUUUUAAGCGCCACUAAUACUUUUAGUGACGCUUUC
rfam:Gossypium arboreum cultivar AKA8401 contig_738_7, whole genome shotgun sequence.